rnacentral:rRNA from 1 species
AACGAACGCUGGCGGCAGGCCUAACACAUGCAAGUCGAGCGAGGACUUCGGUCCUAGCGGCGGACGGGUGAGUAACGCGUGGGAACGUGCCCUUUGGUACGGAAUAGCCCCGGGAAACUGGGAGUAAUACCGUAUGGUGUCUUCGGACUAAAGAUUUAUCGCCAAAGGAUCGGCCCGCGUUGGAUUAGGUAGUUGGGUGGGGUAAGUGGCCUACCAAGCCGACGAUCCAUAGCUGGUUUGAGAGGAUGAUCAGCCACACUGGGACUGAGACACGGCCCAGACUCCUACGGGAGGCAGCAGUGGGGAAUCUUAGACAAGUGGGGGCAACCCUGAUCUAGCCGUGCCGCGUGAGUGAUGAAGGCCCGUAGGGUUGUAAAGCUCUUUCAGCUGGGAAGAUAAUGACGGUACCAGCAGAAGAAGCCCCGGCUAACUCCGUG